rnacentral:tRNA from 1 species
GGUGGCUCAGAGGUAGAGCACUUGCCUUGCAUGCAUGAGGCCCUAGGUUCGAUUUCUUAGCACCA